AUUGAACGCUGGCGGCAUGCCUUACACAUGCAAGUCGAACGGCAGCACGGGAGCAAUCCUGGUGGCGAGUGGCGAACGGGUGAGUAAAGUAUCGGAACGUGCCCAGUCGUGGGGGAUCACGUAGCGAAAGUUACGCUAAUACCGCAUACGAUCUAUGGAUGAAAGCGGGGGAUCGCAAGACCUCGCGCGAUUGGAGCGGCCGAUAUCAGAUUAGGUAGUUGGUGGGGUAAAGGCUCACCAAGCCGACGAUCUGUAGCUGGUCUGAGAGGAUGAUCAGCCACACUGGGACUGAGACACGGCCCAGACUCCUACGGGAGGCAGCAGUGGGGAAUUUUGGACAAUGGGCGCAAGCCUGAUCCAGCCAUUCCGCGUGCAGGAUGAAGGCCUUCGGGUUGUAAACUGCUUUUGUACAGAACGAAAAGGCUCUGGUUAAUACCCGGGGCUCAUGACGGUACUGUAAGAACAAGCACCGGCUAACUACGUGCCAGCCGCCGCGGUAA
rnacentral:rRNA from 1 species